CAGACAUAAAAGCUCCUUGACUGGUCUUUGCCAUGGAAAUUGCAAGUUUUAACAUAUUAUAUAACAGCUCUCAAGAGGAAGCUGCUAACAAGCCCAUCUGAUAUUCUGUGCCAGCUUUUUUAGUGGAGGCGUGCUGCAUGAGACUGAGCUCCACCCUGUUUGUCGAGCAAAGCGUUUGGAAAAUGACACAGCCUGAAGAAAAACGGGAAUUCAAAAUCUGGCUCCAGAUUUCCUUGUGAACCAGUCUGCUCCUCCGCAUCUCUAGAAAGGGACAGUUCUCCUGUGCUGUAAAUGAUACCUGAGGCUUGACAUCUAUGCAGUCUCCAAAGACAGAAUCUAAAAAGUAAAACCUACAAGCUCAGGUAAGCUCAGGUGAACUCAGCUGCUAAUAUGCAGAAAUAAGCUGGUUUUACCAUAAUUUUAU
rnacentral:lncRNA from 1 species